rnacentral:rRNA from 1 species
UCUCGGCUAACGGCUCAGUAACACGCGGAUAACCUGCCCUCGAGUGGGGGAUAAUCUCGGGAAACUGAGAAUAAUACCCCAUAGGCCCGGGAAGCUGGAAUGCUCCCAGGCUGAAAAUUCCGGUGCUCGAGGAUGGGUCUGCGGCCUAUCAGGCUGUAGUGGGUGUAACGGACCCACUAACCUUCGACGGGUACGGGCCUUGAGAGAGGUUGCCCGGAGAUGGAUUCUGAGACACGAAUCCAGGUCCUACGGGGCGCAGCAGGCGCGAAAACUUCGCAAUGUGGGAAACCACGACGAGGGAAUCCCAAGUGCCAACGAUUUUUCGUUGGCUGUUGCCCUGCCUAAAAAGCAGGGAGAGUAAGGGCUGGGUAAGACGGGUGCCAGCCGCCGCGGUAAUACCCGCGGCCCGAGUGGUGCUCGUUAUUAUUGGGUUUAAAACGUCCGUAGCCGGUCCAGUAAAUUCUUGGGUAAAUCGACCGGCCCAACCGGUCGAAUUCCGGGGAGACUGCUGGACUUGGGACCGGGGGAGGUCGGAGGUACUUCCAGGGUAGGGGUGAAAUCCUGUAAUCCUGGAGGGACCACCAGUGGCGAAGGCGUCCGACCAGAACGGCUCCGACGGUAAGGGACNNNNNNCUGGGGCG